rnacentral:lncRNA from 1 species
GAGAUGAGAGUGUAAACUCCUAUAACCUAGUAUGAUCAAGAGGAUACAAAACCUUGUAAGAAAAGACCAUUUCCUAUCACACAAAUAAAUGUUAAUACCUAUCAUUGCAUACAUUUAACACUAUCGCUCAAUAGAGACAUCAAUUUUUAAAGUUCAUCAUUAUAAAAGAUAGAACUUAUCGCCAUGGCAGGCCUCUCGAUAACCUCCCUUGACAAUGGCAGUCUUCGUAGACAAUGACAGUGACACCAAGAACCUUCAGGUUAUGGCAACACCCUACUCACAACAUCGUCAACAUAACACGAAAAAAAAAUGGAGGUUGGAGGAGUGAAGCGCAAUAAAGGUAGGGGAAGAGAAGAGCGUGAUUUGGGAGUGAACCACAAUGAAGGUUGGGGAGUGAACCAAAACGUAGGUUAAAGAAGGGCAGAGUUGAAGGACAAUGGAGGUUAGGGAAGACUGAAUGGCAAUGAAGGUUAGGAUAGAGUAGUGAGCGUAUGAACAACGGGAAUGAAAGACAAUGUUUUUGUCAAAGUGAAAUUGUAGGAGGCAAAUGCCAAAUUCUGAUAUUAUUUUAUCGAAGCACAUACCAACGGUCACAAUCCCUCGGU